CCUACGGGAGGCAGCAGUGGGGAAUAUUGCACAAUGGGGGAAACCCUGAUGCAGCAACGCCGCGUGAGUGAAGAAGUAUUUCGGUAUGUAAAGCUCUAUCAGCAGGGAAGAAGAUGACGGUACCUGAAUAAGAAGCCCCGGCUAACUACGUGCCAGCAGCCGCGGUAAUACGUAGGGGGCGAGCGUUAUCCGGAUUUACUGGGUGUAAAGGGAGCGCAGACGGCAGGGCAAGUCUGGAGUGAAAGCCCGGGGCCCAACCCCGGAACUGCUAUGGAAACUGUGCGGGUAGAGUACGGGAUG
rnacentral:rRNA from 1 species